rnacentral:rRNA from 1 species
AUUGAACGCUGGCGGCAGGCCUAACACAUGCAAGUCGAGCGAGCGGCGGACGGGUGAGUAAUGUAUGGGGACUGCCCGAUAGAGGGGGAUAACUACUGGAAACGGUGGCUAAUACCGCAUACUAUCGGAUAACCCAUAUGGGAUUAGCUAGUAGGUGGGGUAAAGGCUAACCUAGGCGACGAUCUCUAGCUAGUCUGAGAGGAUGAUCAGCCACACGGGGAGGGGGACACGGCCCAGACUCCUGCGGGGACGGCAGUGGGGAAUAUUGCAAAAUGGGCGAAGGCCUGAUGCGGCAAUGCCGGGUGGAUGAAGAGGGCCUUGGGGUUGAAAAGUACGUUCAGCGAGGAGGCGUUACCCAAAGAAGAAGCGCCGGCUAACUCCGUGCCAGCAGCCGCGGUAAUAC